rnacentral:siRNA from 1 species
AGUUAUAUUUUCUGCGAGUGAGUA